rnacentral:rRNA from 1 species
UACAGAGGUCUCAAGCGUUGUUCGGAUUCAUUGGGCGUAAAGGGUGCGUAGGCGGCGCGGUAAGUCGGGUGUGAAAUCUCGGGGCUUAACUCCGAAACUGCAUUCGAUACUGCCGUGCUUGAGGACUGGAGAGGAGACUGGAAUUACGGUGUAGCGGUGAAAUGCGUAGAUAUCGUAAGGAAGACCAGUGGCGAAGGCGGGUCGCUGGACGAGUUCCUGACGCUGAGGCACGAAGGUCAGGGGAGGCAAACGGG